rnacentral:rRNA from 1 species
UACAGAGGGUGCGAGCGUUAAUCGGGAUUACUGGGCGUAAAGGGCGCGUAGGCGGUCAGCACAAGUCAGUUGUGAAAUCUCCGGGCUUAACUCGGAAAGGUCAACUGAUACUGUGCGACUAGAGUGCAGAAGGGGCAACUGGAAUUCUCGGUGUAGCGGUGAAAUGCGUAGAUAUCGAGAGGAACACCUGCGGCGAAGGCGGGUUGCUGGGCUGACACUGACGCUGAUGCGCGAAAGCCAGGGGAGCGAACGGG